rnacentral:rRNA from 1 species
CGUGAACCGUUUCAGGAUGGGACUGCGACUGAUCAGGCUGUUCGCGGGGUAAUGGCCCACCAAACCAAUAACCAGUACGGGCCUUGAGAGAGGGGGCCCGGAGAUGGACACUGAGAGAAGGGUCCAGGUCCUUCGGGGAGCAGCAGGCGCGAAACCUUCGCAAUGCGCGAAAGCUCCCUAGGUUAAUCCGAGUGGUUCCCGGUGAGGGAA